rnacentral:lncRNA from 1 species
GAGCAUGGCCUCCACCUCUCCUCCCCACCGCCAUCUCCACGUUCUCGCACCGGCGCUGGGGUGCAGGCUUUCAGUGGUCUCAGGGCUACGGCUUGUCGGUGCCUCGCCGCACAGUCCCCUUUGCAUUGAAGGACACGGUCUUACGGUGUAGGAGCAUUUUUGAGGUGCAUUCCUGGAUUUGGAGGCGAACCCCCAAUGGUUACCUCCACAGAGGCUUUGCGAAGGGCGCUCACUGACUUAGGUGAAGAGCGAAGGCUCAAGACUGUGCCGCUUUAUAGUGGCCCCUUGACGUCCAGAAGUUCCCCCCAGCGCCGGUCAUAAGCACUCCCGCCGCCUGGGCCCCGCCCUGCCUGCCAGGCGCCCUCCAGCCUCAGCUCCCGGACGCCCGGCGUGGCCGCUUUCUCGCGUCUUGCUGACCCGGGCCGGGGGCGUGUGCUCCUCCUGCAGCGGACGGAAGAUGCUGGGCCACGCAAGUUUCCCUGGGCUUGGUUAACCACCCCAAAGCCCAUUUCCAGAAGGAAAGGGUGUUGAGGAGGAGGGAUAGAAAGUCGAGAAGAGGGCCGGGUGAGUGGCUCACGCCUGUCAUCCCAGCACUUUGGGAGGCCGAGACAGGCGGAUCACCUGAGGUCAGGACUUAGAGACCAGCCUGGCCUACAUGGUGAAACCCCGUCUCUACUAAAAAUACAAAAAUUAGCCGGGUGUGGUGCCGUGCGCCUGUAGUCCCAGCAACUCGGGAGGCUGAGGUAGGAGAAUCGCUUGAACCCGGGAGUCGGAGGUUGCAGUGCUGAGAUGGCACCUGGCCUGGGCGGCAAGAGCGAAACUCCAUCUCAAAAAAAAAAAGAAGAGGAAAUGAGGCAUAGGGGCAGGCGAGCCGGGAAAAUAUUGCUACUAAGGAUCCUAAGCAGUGAACAUGCUGUUAAUACUUGUAAGACUCCUAGCAAACUGCAUUUAAUUUUUUAAAUUAGUUUUAGUGUACAUAAAGGCAUGUCUUUUCCAAAUACUGUA